AUGAAGAUGAGGAUGUGUUCCUUCCCUUUGAGGGGAAAUACGUCUCCGUUGGAGCGGUGUGGAGGCACAAUGCUCCCCAAUAAGCCACUAGGGCCACCGUAUUCUCCUCACGCCCUCACACAAUGUGAGGUGUCGUGA
rnacentral:rRNA from 1 species